rnacentral:rRNA from 1 species
AUUGAACGCUGGCGGCAGGCCUAACACAUGCAAGUCGAACGGUAGCACAGAGAGCUUGCUCUCGGGUGACGAGUGGCGGACGGGUGAGUAAUGUCUGGGAAACUGCCUGAUGGAGGGGGAUAACUACUGGAAACGGUAGCUAAUACCGCAUAACGUCGCAAGACCAAAGAGGGGGACCUUCGGGCCUCUUGCCAUCAGAUGUGCCCAGAUGGGAUUAGCUAGUAGGUGGGGUAACGGCUCACCUAGGCGACGAUCCCUAGCUGGUCUGAGAGGAUGACCAGCCACACUGGAACUGAGACACGGUCCAGACUCCUACGGGAGGCAGCAGUGGGGAAUAUUGCACAAUGGGCGCAAGCCUGAUGCAGCCAUGCCGCGUGUAUGAAGAAGGCCUUCGGGUUGUAAAGUACUUUCAGCGGGGAGGAAGGGAGUAAGGUUAAUAACCUUAUUCAUUGACGUUACCCGCAGAAGAAGCACCGGCUAACUCUGUGCCAGCAGCCGCCGUAAGAC